rnacentral:rRNA from 1 species
GAUGAACGCUGGCGGCGUGCCUAAUACAUGCAAGUCGAGCGAACAGACGAGGAGCUUGCUCCUCUGACGUUAGCGGCGGACGGGUGAGUAACACGUGGAUAACCUACCUAUAAGACUGGGAUAACUUCGGGAAACCGGAGCUAAUACCGGAUAAUAUAUUGAACCGCAUGGUUCAAUAGUGAAAGACGGUUUUGCUGUCACUUAUAGAUGGAUCCGCGCCGCAUUAGCUAGUUGGUAAGGUAACGGCUUACCAAGGCGACGAUGCUUAGCCGCCCUGAGAGGGUGAUCGGACACACUGGAACUGAGAAACGGCCCAGACUCCUACGGGAGGCAGCAGUAGGGAAUCUUCCGCAAUGGGCGAAAGCCUGACGGAGCAACGCCGCGUGAGUGAUGAAGGUCUUCGGCUCGUAAAACUCUGUUAUUAGGGAAGAACAAAUGUGUAAGUACCUAUGCACGUCUUGACGGUACCUAAUCAGAAAGCCACGGCUAACUACGUG